GACGAACGCUGGCGGCGUGCCUAAUACAUGCAAGUCGAACGAGUUGCGGACGGGUUAGUAACACGUGGGAACCUACCCAUCAGAGGGGGAUAACUACUGGAAACGGUAGCUACUACCGCAUACCAUCAGAUAUGCCCAGAUGGGAUUAGCUAGUAGGUGGGGUAACGGCUCACCUAGGCGACGAUCCCUAGCUGGUCUGAGAGGAUGACCAGCCACACUGGAACGGAGACACGGUCCAGACUCCUACGGGAGGCAGCAGUGGGGAAUAUUGCACAAUGGGCGCAAGCCUGAUGCAGCCAUGCCGCGUGUAUGAAGAAGGCCUUCGGGUUGUAAAGUACUUUCAGCGGGGAGGCGUUACCCGCAGAAGAAGCACCGGCUAACUCCGUGCCAGCAGCCGCGGUAAUAC
rnacentral:rRNA from 1 species